CCCGCGCUCCGGCUUGGCAUGACUUUUGGCUUGGUUUCUUCCGCCAAGCCGGCCAGUUUCUCCUGCCGAGCCGUCUGCUGCGCAGAUUCACAUUGGGGAAGUGAUAAACAGUUCGCUAUUAGGGAGCCAGUAUAUUUCUGGACUUCACUAAACCCACGAGGAACGUGAGUUUUGCUUCCUUCGACUGCAAAGCAUUUGCUAGGCCAGUACAGACUUCCUGGUGUGAUUCGUGUUCUGUGCUGCGUGCCGAGAAUGCGUGAGCGUUUUGCUCCCGUCUGCAAGAACACUUCAGCAUGCAGUUCCAAUGUUUCAAACCACAAUUUUCCGAAAGGUGAAAGAGAAAUCUAUUGACUGCAACAAUCGGUUACAACUCCGACUGGGUGCCACCUUCGAAAGCAGUGAUCUGUUCAUCUGGCUCAUACGAAUGUUACGGAAGCAAUGCGCAACUUGUUUCACAAGAAGCCGAAGAUGUCUCGUCCGGGAUGCCGUGCCAACCUUAUCUGCAGCUGGAGAUUGCAGGGGCAGGACUAGGCAGCAGAUAAAGGCAUUCUGGCACCACCGAAAAGCUUGCACACCACGUCUCAACUAUCACCGUCUGUGUUUCAAUCUGAAGGCUGUCACCAGUGCCAACCAGACGCCCCUUCAAAGUUCAUCUGUUUUUGUUGACGGAACAGUGACACCUGGUAAACCUGUCACGCAGAUGCCCUACCCCUUGGUAUGCAUAGUUCAAGAUUGUACCGAAACAAUCCACCUGGAGCAUUAUUCACCUAAUGUAGAGUAACUCAACAAAAUUAUACGGCGCAGCAUGAUCUUUGAUAUCCUUGCGCCAGUAAACUCAAAUCAAAUCAAAUCAAAAUCAAUGCAUCAAACCUAUUCUCAUGUACAGACCAGCUGGUACGCAACUACAACAUGAAACAACUGACACAGAGACUGUAAAGUCAUGCCUUUUCCUCCACGCCUCGGGUUUCAUGUUAUUAUCCUCACAUGCAGCUCAAUUCGCCUGUGCUGUGCAGCAUGAGCAAAAGCAUAUAUUGUUUGUGGUCACAUGACACGGAACAUAAAUACAGUGAAACCUUCCUAUGUUGGACACCCGCAGUGCAACCGAAGCGUCUCCUACGUAUAGAGGUGUCCGAGUUACAGAAUAUGACGGCAACAAAAAAUGGAAGAGAUCACAGCUGUGAGAAAUGUCCCCCUUCUUGAAUUUAAGGUCCUUAGUGGUACCUGGUGGUGGUGCCUGGUAGUGGUACCACUACCCACUCUUCACUGAUAAUUAUUACUGAUUUUACUAUAUUCAAUUCCGUUCAGAUUCUACUCAAUGGCAUUACAUCCGGAGCUUUUCGAGCAGCAAGGACUUGUCUCUGAAGCAUCAGCCUACUUCUCAUAGCUUUGGUGCAGUGCUCGUUCAAAGGCUCUAGACAAACUGAAGACAAGUGCUCACGUAAAGAAUUACAAUGUAGACUGACAGCACUUGUUUUUGGACUCGAAAAACUAAAGCAACAAAAUGCUGAGACCAGAAUAGGGGAAAAAAGGGGCAAAAGUCAAGGCCACUGGCUCAUUUUGGGUCUUUUUGGUGCAAAGAUGGGCCAACAUUGAGGUAAUUUGGCCAGGGUUUUGUCAGACUUUGCAGGGAAAACCCUAUCCUACUUCCAAGAUAGGGAGGUGUCCGACAUAGAGAAUUUCGUCCCCAUGUAGUUUCAAUGGGAGCCUGCCCGUGCAAUGAAAUCAUGGGGAGUUGUCCGAGGUAGGGAGGUGUCCGACUUUGGAGGUUUUACUGUACUACAGAGGAUUCUACAUCUAGUAAUCUAACAGUUGUUCACGUUUGGAUAUUUUAACCAUGGAAUUUACCCUGCAUGCACAAUACGAUGUCGAAACACUAACAACUGCUAGAGAGCAGCAUGUACUGUUUCCGUAUAGCACUUAUGGCGUGCAUCCUGUGACCGGAAACAGUGGUGUCUUUUUUCUGCUACAACCAGUAAACUACAGUAAAGAUUUAGAAAUACUGUGUCAUACCAUAAAGCACUAUGGGAAAUGGCAGUUUGAAAAACUGGAGAAGACUGUCAUUAGAAUGGGGGACAUGUUCUACGGUGAAAUUUCUUACAGUGUGUGCUGUACCACGUAAUGCACUGCAGGCCUACCACAGUAUGGUAACGCGCUGAAUACUGAUUUGCUCAAAAAAGGAAUGUGUACGUUUCUUGUACUAACUUCCCAUUAUGCAAAGUAGUAGAAAAAUGUUCUCAGCCAAUGGGGAGGGAGAGGACAUCAUUCUGGAGUCUCGUUGACCUAUAAUGUGUCGUGUGUGAAUGUCAUUUUGAAGAGUGUAGGUGGUACAAGACUGUCUUCCCACAUUCUUGGCAGUGUUGACUAAUAACCAUAAUAAAGUAGAGGGUACAUUUGUUGCUUCAUAUAUUUGUGUCAUGGCAAAGCAUGUAGAGAUACAUCUUCCUCAACAUGCAGGUGACAAAACUGCUUUUUAUGCCUAAACUAUGACAAAUAGUUGUGUGUUCAGCACCACUAAUCAUGUGCCGGCCUCCAUCACAUGUCUGUGACAUUCCAAAGUGAUUAACAUGUCCCAUAUAUGUGUGCAAUGCUGAAGAUGACUGUGUACCUUCCAUGGAUUCUUGAUUCAAGAAAAGUACUGUGUGAUUUGCUAACAGCACCUGGCUGUACCUUCACAAUUCUACAUAAAAAUAUGUAAAGUUUGCCGAAGGAAACAUCAUGAAGGUCCAUAGCGAAAAACCUUGAGACGAGGGAUAGGAAGGGACAUACACAAUGUCUCAACAUAGCGUGUUUAUGUCCCUUUUUGUAUCUCCUCUUCAGGUCUCGCCAUUAUGGACACUAUCACCAGCUCGCUUGCUGUUGAACCGUUCUUUCAACGAUAAGGGUCACUUUCAUGGACUGGAUGGCAGCCAACAUGCUGUCAAUAAAAAGAAUAAUGGAAGGAGCUCAAUAUGAUCCUUAGGCUGUGUGUGGUCAUUGCUUUCUGAUAAAUGGUGACUUAGAAUUUCAGGACAGUGCUUGCAGUUGUAGUAUUCUUGUGUUCUCACCCUUGAUGCCCAUUGUGUGUCAUCGGUCACCCGUAAUCUGCUAAUAUGCACAUAGCUCAAACAAAGUAUAUUUGUAUUUCUUUGAAUACAGUUGGUACAGCACAUUGUUUUUUACAUGUUCUUUGGAAAAUAUAAAUAAAUUAUCUACUCUGCAAGUCUCCUGUCAGCUCUACAGAGCAGCUUCAAAUUUCACUAGAAGCCACGUGUGAAGCCUAGACCAAACUAGUGGUGAAGGUCCGUAUA